rnacentral:rRNA from 1 species
AGUGAACGCUGGCGGCAGGCCUAACACAUGCAAGUCGAACGGCAGCACGGCAGUAGCAAUACUGUGGGUGGCGAGUGGCGGACGGGUGAGGAAUACAUCGGGAUCUACCCUGUUGUGGGGGGAUAACGUAGGGAAACUUACGCUAAUACCGCAUAAGAACUGAGGUUGAAAGCGGCGGACCGCAAGGCGUCGCGCGAUUGGAUGAACCGAUGUCCGAUUAGCUAGUUGGCGGGGUAAAGCCCACCAAGGCGACGAUCGGUAGCUGGUCUGAGAGGACGACCAGCCACACUGGAACUGAGACACGGUCCAGACUCCUACGGGAGGCAGCAGUGGGGAAUUUUGGACAAUGGGCGAAAGCCUGAUCCAGCCAUGCCGCGUGUCUGAAGAAGGCC